GAUGGGAGCUUGCUCCCUGAUGUUAGCGGCGGACGGGUGAGUAACACGUGGGUAACCUGCCUGUAAGACUGGGAUAACUCCGGGAAACCGGGGCUAAUACCGGAUGGUUGUCUGAACCGCAUGGUUCAGACAUAAAAGGUGGCUUCGGCUACCACUUACAGAUGGACCCGCGGCGCAUUAGCUAGUUGGUGAGGUAACGGCUCACCAAGGCGACGAUGCGUAGCCGACCUGAGAGGGUGAUCGGCCACACUGGGACUGAGACACGGCCCAGACUCCUACGGGAGGCAGCAGUAGGGAAUCUUCCGCAAUGGACGAAAGUCUGACGGAGCAACGCCGCGUGAGUGAUGAAGGUUUUCGGAUCGUAAAGCUCUGUUGUUAGGGAAGAACAAGUGCCGUUCAAAUAGGGCGGCACCUUGACGGUACCUAACCAGAAAGCCACGGCUAACUACGUGCCAGCAGCCGCGGUAAUACGUAGGUGGCAAGCGUUGUCCGGAAUUAUUGGGCGUAAAGGGCUCGCAGGCGGUUUCUUAAGUCUGAUGUGAAAGCCCCCGGCUCAACCGGGGAGGGUCAUUGGAAACUGGGGAA
rnacentral:rRNA from 1 species